AGCCACCAGCGAGAUUCGAACUCGCGACCCCUGGUUUUCGAGACCAGUGCUCUAACCUCUGAGCUAUGGCGGC